GUUACCCAUAGUCAACUGAGGUCUGGAAGCAGAUGAUCCUUUUCCUGACAUAAUGUUAUAGCAUCAGUAAUAGCCUGAUGCUGUGUCACGGUGAUUGUGUCAUUCAAGUCGCUUCAUCUCAUCAUGGAGACAUUUUAUCGUCUCACAUCAUCAUAAGAAGAGGAAAGAGGAAACAUUAUUCAAGAUAGACGUUGCUAAAUCAUUAAAUAAGCCUAAUGCAUUUAAGAAAAAAGAAGAAGAAAGAACAAAACAAAGAAAAAAAGAACAAAGUUUGAGGAGUCGUUCUACCUGAUUUCAAGACUUCUGUAAAGCUCACCAACUAAGACAGUAUUGUACUGGAGAAAGGAUAAACAUAUUGGUGAAACAGAGCAGAGUCUAGAAGUAUAGUCACACUUUUAUGAUCAACUGGUUUUCAACAAAGGUCGUUCAGUGGAGAAACAGUAGUCCUCUCAAUAUAUGGUACUGAGACAAUUGGACAUCCACACUAAAAGAAUAAAUAAAUUUUCAUCUAUACCUUAUUCAGUAUAUUAAUUAAUUAAAUUCAAAAUAUUUCAGAGAAUCACAUGUAAAAACAUAAACUCUAAAAUUUCUAGAAAAAAUAUAGAGAAAAGGCUUUAUGUCCUUGGGUUAGAUGAAGAUUUCUUAGCUGUAACAACAACAACAUGAUCCACAUACACAAAAAGACACUAUAGAUAAAAAACAAAGACAUACCAGACAGAAGGAGAAAACUCACCUAUCUAUUGAAGGAUUUUUAGCCAGAAUACAUAAAUUCUUUUCAAAACUAAGUAAUAGGAAAAUGACUUGAUUGAAAGAAAAGGGCAAAAGAUCUGAACAUUUAUUUCAUCAAAGUAGGUGUGUGGUUGAAAAACACAUAAAAAGAGAUAUUUUGUACCAUUUGUCAUCAGAGAAAUACAAAUUAAAAACCACAAUGAGGUGUCACUACCCACUUAUUGGAAUCACUAAAAUUAAAAAAGAAAAAGACAAAACUGAUCAUAGUAAGUGCUAGAUAGACACAGAUAAAUUGGAACUCUCAUGGGUUGCUGGGGGAAAUGGGAAAUGGGAAAACAGUUUGGCAGUUUCAUAUAAAAUUAAAUAUAUCCUUAACCAUA